UACAGAGGGUGCAAGCGUUAAUCGGAAUUACUGGGCGUAAAGCGCGCGUAGGUGGUUCGUUAAGUUGGAUGUGAAAUCCCCGGGCUCAACCUGGGAACCGCAUUCAAAACUGACGAGCUAGAGUAUGGUAGAGGGUGGUGGAAUUUCCUGUGUAGCGGUGAAAUGCGUAGAUAUAGGAAGGAACACCAGUGGCGAAGGCGACCACCUGGACUGAUACUGACACUGAGGCGCGACAGCGUGGGGAGCAAACAGG
rnacentral:rRNA from 1 species